GGAGGCGUAGUCUAACUGGUAAGGCAGCUGAUUCGAAAUCAGCCGGGUUUGCGCCCUUGGGGGUUCGAGUCCCUCCGCCUCCG
rnacentral:tRNA from 1 species